AGAGUUUGAUCAUGGCUCAGGAUGAACGCUAGCGGCAGGCCUAAUACAUGCAAGUCGAGGGGUAAGGCCCAUUUCGGUGGGUACACGACCGGCGCACGGGUGCGUAACGCGUAUGCAACCUACCUUUAACAGGGGGAUAGCCCCGAGAAAUCGGGAUUAACACCCCAUAAAAUUAUUUUACUGCAUGGUAGAAUAAUUAAAACUCCGGUGGUUAAAGAUGGGCAUGCGUGACAUUAGCUUGUUGGUGAGGUAACGGCUCACCAAGGCGACGAUGUCUAGGGGUUCUGAGAGGAUGAUCCCCCACACUGGUACUGAGACACGGACCAGACUCCUACGGGAGGCAGCAGUAAGGAAUAUUGCGCAAUGGAGGCAACUCUGACGCAGCCAUGCCGCGUGCAGGAAGACGGCCUUAUGGGUUGUAAACUGCUUUUAUAAGGGAAUAAACUCUCGUUUGAGAACGGGACUGAAGGUACCUUAUGAAUAAGCACCGGCUAACUCCGUGCCAGCAGCCGCGGUAAUACGGAGGGUGCGAGCGUUAUCCGGAUUUAUUGGGUUUAAAGGGUGCGCAGGCGGGAUAUUAAGUCAGUGGUGAAAUCUUCCGGCUCAACCGGGAAACUGCCAUUGAUACUGGUAUUCUUGAGUUUGGUUGAAGUGGGCGGAAUGUAGCAUGUAGCGGUGAAAUGCAUAGAGAUGCUACAGAACACCGAUUGCGAAGGCAGCUCACUAAGCCAAUACUGACGCUCAUGCACGAAAGCGUGGGGAGCGAACAGGAUUAGAUACCCUGGUAGUCCACGCUGUAAACGAUGAUAACUCGUUGUUGGCGAUACACAGUCAGCGGCCAAGCGAAAGCGAUAAGUUAUCCACCUGGGGAGUACGAUCGCAAGGUUGAAACUCAAAGGAAUUGACGGGGGGCCCGCACAAGCGGUGGAGCAUGUGGUUUAAUUCGAUGAUACGCGAGGAACCUUACCUGGGCUCAAAUGCAGGAUGACAGGUCCUGAAAGGGAUUUUUCUUCGGACAUUCUGCAAGGUGCUGCAUGGUUGUCGUCAGCUCGUGCCGUGAGGUGUCGGGUUAAGUCCCAUAACGAGCGCAACCCUUACUCUUAGUUACCAGCACGUAAAGGUGGGGACUCUAAGGGAACUGCCUACGCAAGUAGAGAGGAAGGUGGGGAUGACGUCAAAUCAGCACGGCCCUUACGUCCAGGGCUACACACGUGCUACAAUGGCCGGUACAGAGGGCAGCCACCCUGUGAGGGGGAGCGAAUCUCGAAAGCCGGUUUCAGUUCGGAUCGAAGUCUGCAACUCGACUUCGUGAAGCUGGAAUCGCUAGUAAUCGCGCAUCAGCCAUGGCGCGGUGAAUACGUUCCCGGGCCUUGUACACACCGCCCGUCAAGCCAUGGAAGCUGGGGGCGCCUGAAGUCGGUAACCGAUAAGGAACUGCCUAGGGCGAAACUAGUGACUGGGGCUAAGUCGUAACAAGGUA
rnacentral:rRNA from 1 species